rnacentral:rRNA from 1 species
UCUGACCUCGAAUCAGAUGGGACUACCCGCUGAACUUAAGCAUAUCAAUAAGCGGAGGAAAAGAAACUAACAAGGAUUCCCCUAGUAACGGCGAGUGAAGCGGGAAGAGCUCAAAUUUAAAAUCUGGUAGUCCCUGGACU